rnacentral:tRNA from 1 species
GCCUGGGUGGCUCAGUUGGUUAAGUGUCUGACUUCAGCUCAGGUCAUGAUCUCGCGGUCGGUGAGUUCGAGCCCCACGUCAGGCU